rnacentral:tRNA from 1 species
UAACAUAGUGGUUAGAGCAUGAGACUCUUAAUCUCAGGGUCGUGGGUUCAAGCCCCAC